ACCAAUUACAAAAAACACAUAACUAAGAUGUAAAAAUUGCAAUAAAUACCUACUUUCCUGUAUCAAGAAAUGCAUCGAACUAAUAUUAAAAAACAAGCAACUUGAAGUAUGACAAAUGCGAAGAAGGUACAGAAAACAGGAACGAAGCAGGUGCUGAUUACAUCCCCCUUUUAGAUUAUCCCUUUUCAAAUCAAGUGUGAAUCAAAUUUUUCUGCAUUACAUUAUAAACUUAAUUUCCAAUGAAGGUAUUCUUAAAGCUGAUAGGUUGGUAUGAAAAAUCAAGUGAUUCCCCGUGUAAAGCUAAAAGUCAGAAUAUGAAGAAAGUAUCGGGAUUUUUAAUAAAACAAAAAAACAAACAUACCUUCCUGAUCCAUUUUCCUUUUAAGAUGUUUGGUGUUUUCGACUUUUAACAAAACUUAAUUAGCUUUUUUAAAUCCAUAAACAGAAACACAAAACAAAAAUCAACAGACCUCUUAAAGUAGGUAUAUCACAGUCACCGUCAUCCGAGCUGAGCCGAAA